CCCUUCCCCUUCUUCAUAGCAAAGAGCAGAAAAUGCAGAUACAAGCAUGCACAGCAUCAUUCACUGUCUCAGAUAUCUCUCUCUGCAUCUUGAAAACCCUAUCAUUGACAUGUCUGUUAGAGAAUUUAUAAAACAGAAGCUGCUGAAAUGCCACCUCUUCUAUGAGAACUUUCCAGAGCCUACUUUCCAUGGAUGAAUAUUUAUUCAUUUCCCAUGGCCCUUUGUCAUCUUUCAAUCUUCUUCUUUAGAUCUUAGGUUCCAUAAGCUGUAACCAUUGGUUGACACAUGGUUUGGUGUGUAGAGCAUAAACAUAUUGUGGGAAGACACCUGGAGAAACCCAUCCAUUAUGGAAUUAGGUUAAUGGCCAGGUAUAACCAUGGAAAUUUUGUUUUAAUUAGAAAAAUUUCAAUAAGAAGACAUUCCACAAAUUAUUU